rnacentral:ncRNA from 1 species
AUUGAUAGAGGCGCGGUUGACAUUAUUAGUACCUAUAAUCGCUCGGAUAAGCGAGGUGCGAAAGGGGAGACCGCCGAAAUGGUUUAUCUUUAUCCGAAGUUAAAUCGUUGGUAUAUUGCAGAAUAUGUAGUAUACUGUCACAUUUCGUGGAGUGCUAUCUU